AAGUCGUAACAAGGUCUCCGUAGGGUGAGUUUUGAACGACUUCUAACUAAUAUUGAAUGAAUGCUAACAGAUUUCCAGUGAACCUGCGGAGGGAUCAUUACUGAGUGAGGGUCUCUGACCCGACCUCCAACCCUUUGUGAUUUAAACCUCUGUUGCCUCGGGGCGACCCGGACCCGCGUCUAGGGCCCCCGACGGACCAUUUCAAAACACUGCAUCUUUGCGUCGGAUUGAAUAAAGUAAAUGAUUAAAACUUUCAACAACGGAUCUCUUGGUUCUGGCAUCGAUGAAGAACGCAGCGAAAUGCGAUAAGUAAUGUGAAUUGCAGAAGUUCAGUGAAUCAUCGAAUCUUUGAACGCACAUUGCGCCCUUUGGCAUUCCGAAGGGCAUGCCUGUUCGAGCGUCAUUACACCAAUCAAGCCUGGCUUGGUAUUGGGCGACGGGGCCGUCACACGCCCCGCGCCCCAAUGACCCCCGGCGGGACGGACCGAAUCUCAGCGUUGUGAAUCCAAAGCCGCUGGCGAGACGGGACGGCCGUGCCGUUAAACAACCCCAUCACAAGGUUGACCUCGGAUCAGGUAGGGAUACCCGCUGAACUUAA
rnacentral:rRNA from 1 species